AAAAAAAAAAAAAAAAAAAAGAAUGCAGAGGAGGUGAUGGACAGUGUGAGAUGCCAGAAAGAGGUUUUGGAAGGAAUACGUCUAUCAUUAAUGGCCAGGCCUGGGGUGUCACCAUGGGAUUAAGUGACUGAGGUGGGUUGGAAAAUAAAAUGACUGGCAAUGAGUAGACAAGGAACUGAGCGCCCAGCACAUUGUUUCCAGGGAUGACAGAGUGCCUAGGAAUGAUGAUGGUAGGAGGGGUGUAACCAAGAGAGUGAAUCAGGUUUUAAAAUGUCCAGGGAAUGAGGGGAAGCAAGCCAGGAGAUCAGCAGAUGAUUACAGUAUCCUGAUGGCAUGUACCUCAAAGGAUCCGAGUCUUGAGAAACUAGACGAUGAGAAGUAGUUUGGAAGCGACACUGUGGAGCUUCGUUAAGAAUUACAAAUGAAAUGCUAACCCGGGCCGGAGUACUUUGACGGGAGUGAAAGCUCAGAAAGGGGCUCAUGGAAAAAAUGGCAUUUACGGGGGACUUUGAAAGGUGAAAUGAAUUUUGAGAGAAAUCGCUUUGGAAAGGUAUUGCCAGCCAGAGAAAAUAUUAUUACGAAAGAAGAGGGAGUUAACACCGACUGUUCCGCCCAUGACUGGUGUUUCUGCCUUCGGGCCUGUUGCCGAGUUGUUAACUGCGGUAGGGUGUCAGCAGGCCACUAGGUGGCAGUGCAUAUCCUUGAGGAUGUACAGCCCUCCUUGGGACUGUGGGUUUUUGUGAAGGCUGGAAAUGAAAAUCUAGCCCCAGCACUGCUGAGGGGAGGCAAGUGAUGUGUGGAUUGGUGUAUUUAGUAAGUCUUAGCAUUAAAGGGGCAAAGCCGGCAAGAGAAUAAACUUGAGAACAUUUAGGCAAAAGAUCAGGAAGAAGAUGAAAGGAAGCUGUCUCAAGACAAAGGUAUGAUGUGUCAGAAGUAAAGGCCGCACUUUCUUAUACCAUACACAAAAAUAAACUCAGUGAAUGAAAGACCUGAAUGUGGAAACUGAAGC